rnacentral:tRNA from 2 species
GCGCCCAUCGUCUAGCGGUUAGGACAUCGCCCUCUCACGGCGGCAACACGGGUUCGAGUCCCGUUGGGCGUACCA